rnacentral:rRNA from 1 species
CACGAGGGUCUCACUGUCUUAAGGAAAUUUCCAGUGAAAUUGAAUUUGUAGUGAAGAUGCUACAUCCAAAUUGUUAGACAAGAAGUCCCCAUGGAACUUUACUGGAAACUUAUGUGGCUUAAAUUAAUUUAUUUCUUACAAAUAAAUAGUUUUUAAAUGUGGUGUUAACCUCUCGGAUUAACGAGGGUUAGAAAAGCUCACUCUUUUAUUUUAAGAAAGCCAACUCAAAAAUUUAUGUCUUUGGGAUGUGAUAAGUGGGACAGUUUGGUUGGGGCGACCGCCUUUAAAAAAGUAACGAAGGCGGGCUUAAGAUAUAUUUUUAGUUAUGUCUGACUGCCAAGGGGGAAUCCUGAGCAGGCACUUACUUUUUAGGUGGGUUUAAGUGACCCGUUAAUUUAGGGUGAAAUAGUUAACGAUAAGCA